rnacentral:rRNA from 1 species
GUCCUGGCCGUAAACGUUGGGCACUAGGUGUUGGAGGCAUCGACCCCUCCAGUGCCGCAGCUAACGCAUUAAGUGCCCCGCCUGGGGAGUACGGCCGCAAGGUUGAAACUCAAAGGAAUUGACGGGGCCCGCACAAGCGGUGGAGCAUGUGGUUUAAUUCGACGCAACGCGAAGAACCUUACCCAGGCUUGACAUGCACGGGACCGGUGUUGAAAGACACCUUCCCUUCGGGGCUCGUGCACAGAUGCUGCAUGGCUGUCGU